rnacentral:lncRNA from 1 species
AGCCUUCUCCUUUUCCUUCUCAACUUCAUAUUUGGGCUUCCAGGUCUUCUCUAGGAUGGAGGUGGCAACCUUCUCAUCAUCAGCAAUCAAAAUAUUGUCAAACAGGAUGCCAUCCUGCAUCGUCCAGAUCUCAAUUCCAAUAGCAGCAAUUGGAUCAAAGUCAGGCUUGUCGAGCUCAAAGUACUCAGGGUUGGGGAUCUCCUGAGGCUUCCAGAUUCCCUUGUAGUUGGGAUUGUCAAUCAGGGGUGCAUGCCACUUGCCCUUGUAAGCAGGGUUCUGCUUCAUUGGCCUCUUCCACUCGCCACACCCAGGUGCCACUUCGCACUUGGGGUUGUCAAUCUUUGGUGCCUCCCAUUCACCAUCCUCCUCAUCAUCCCAGUCCUCAGGCUUGGCUGCCUCUGGAUCAUCAAUUUCCUCAGGCUCAUCAUCCAGCCAUCCCUCAGGCUUGGUGGCUUCCUCAUCCUCAAUUUCCAUUGGAGCAUCCUCAUCCCAGUCAUCAGGCUUCACUGCAUCUGGAUCAGGAAUUUUAGCUCUCUCAUCCCAGUCCUCUGGCUUCUUGUCAUCAGGGUCAGGAAUGGUCUUGGGUGGGAUAAUAGCUGGCUCAAAAUCAUCAGCAGACAGGAA